CACACCUACCCAGAUCCUUUCCCGCCCUUCUGUCCAGGCCCAGCUCUCCAUCUUGGUUGAAGAAAACAAAACUUAUUUCUGAGGAGAAUGGCAUUCCUUCUAAAUUUAAAUUAAAUUGAAUCUUAUUUUUGAAAGUUAAAAUUUUUGACAGUCAUACAAUUAUUGGUAAAUUGGGAGAUGACUGUAGGUGUGAUGAGAGCCCAGAUGUGGGCAAAGUGUAUGGGGAGAAUCCAAACUUGAGGAUACUCCUCAUCAGACCCACCAUCCUCCCAUGAUCCACUGCUGCAUUGUACAACUGAAGCAUCUCUGGAUUAAGGAAAAAAAUUCAAGGUCCAAGAGCCACGUUUACAGUGUGUUCUUUCCACUCUCACCCAGCACCUCAUCCUCCCCAGGGGUUCUGAACCCCGUGGGGUGGAGGCAGGGUAGAGGAAGGCACCCCUGCUGUGGUGAGACCAGUUUGCAGCUUGCAUUGCAGCCCUACUGAACAGAAGGGGAAGCCACAGGAGAGAAAAAAAAUAAUGAUGCACUCCAGCAGUUCUCACGUCCUGUAGCAAAGCAUGGGUCCUGUUGCUGUAGCUUGA
rnacentral:lncRNA from 1 species